GACGAACGCUGGCGGCGUGCUUAACACAUGCAAGUCGAGCGGUAAGGCCCUUUCGGGGGUACACGAGCGGCGAACGGGUGAGUAACACGUGGGUGACCUGCCCUCAGCUCUGGGAUAAGCCUGGGAAACUGGGUCUAAUACUGGAUAUGACUCCACGGUGCAUGUCGUGGGGUGGAAAGCCUUGUGCGGCUGAGGAUGGGCCCGCGGCCUAUCAGCUUGUUGGUGGGGGAUGGCCUACCAAGGCGACGACGGGUAGCCGGCCUGAGAGGGCGACCGGCCACACUGGGACUGAGACACGGCCCAGACUCCUACGGGAGGCAGCAGUGGGGAAUUUUGGACAAUGGGCGCAAGCCUGAUCCAGCCAUGCCGCGUGCGGGAAGAAGGCCUCGG
rnacentral:rRNA from 1 species